rnacentral:lncRNA from 1 species
UUACAGAAAGGACUACGUUUGAGGGUUGGUUUUGGUGAGAAGAUUUCGAUAAGGGAAGACCUUUGGCUACCAGGGUCUGUCAGUUUGAGUUUAUUAAACAACAUCAGUAAUUUUGAGGUCAACUUUGUUUCGGAUUUAACUGACCCACAAUCAAGGGAAUAGAGAAAGGAUAUAACUUUUAUUACCUUUCCAAAGGAUGUCGCGAAGAGAAUACUGAUGAUCCCAUUGGCUAAGGAUGCUUUUGAUGAUAUGCAGGUUUAGAGGGGUGAGCCAUCAGCUGAAUUCUCUAUAAGGAGUGCCUACAAACUAUUACAAUAGGGUAUACUACCCGCUAAUGAAAAUUAUACACAACAGGGCCUUAAAGAAUUCUAUAAAAAACUAUGGAAUCUACAGCUCCCUUCAAAAAUUAAAAUUAUAGUUUGGAGAGCUUUGUGGAAUUUCCUUCCUAUGUUUACUCAAUCUAAACUACAAAAGGGUAGCUGCAAAUUACUUGUGUCCCAAAUGUCUUGGAGCCAUGGAGUCAAUCGAACAUAUCUUGCGGGUAAGCCCUACAUCAACAGAGAUAUGAGUGAAUUUAAAUCUAUCUUGGAUUUUACAAGACUUAGUUCAGCGUUUCUAGGAUUGGAUUACCUGCAUUUUCAUAAGUAGUGCUAACAAGCAGUACAAGGUGUUCUAUUGUGGUCUUUGGGGUAUUUGGUUUAACAGGAAUCAAUCAGUGUAUGAAGGGAAAAAGCUUUCUAGUAAAGAUAUUGCAGACUGGACUACAAGCUGUUUGUAUGAACUUGAUACGAUAGAGGAGAAAUCACAUUCCAGAUCUAAUGUUUUUGCGAUGUGGAGUCCCCCAUUCGACGCAGAGGUGAAGGUUAACUUCGAUGCAGCUUUCAAUCUGAUUCAAAUCAGAUCUGGAAAAGGUGUCGUGACCAGAAACGUUUCGGGCGAGAUUCUGGCCUUGAAGAUGGUUUUACAUUAAGGGGUUCCUACCUUGUUUGCAGUGGAGGCCCGUGCCUGCAGGCAGUAAUGUUGGGGUUGCAACUGGGGGUCGAUUCAGUGGUGACUGAAGGGGAUUCAAAGACAAUAAUAAACAAAUGCAAGUUAGACUCUCUUGAUAAAUAAACUAUCGAAGCCAUAAUCAGAGAUGUCCAACAAUAUAAAGGCCAUUUUUGGAAGAUCUUUUAAACGUACUUCUAAAUCAGCGAACAACAGUGCUCAUACCAUAGCUACUGAAGAUUUAAAGAAGGGGAAGGAAUUUUACCUUGAGGAAGGGUUGCCUGAGUUCGUCGUCAUCCGACGAGCGUUGGAGAGGAAACGGCAGAGGGAACCAGAUUAAAGGAGUUUUUGCCUGGAAGGGGGGCUAGAAAAGGAACGGACAACAGACAGAAAGUAAAGAUACUGGUAACUACUGUUUUUGGAAGCUAGAAUCGCCUAAUAAGGUUUUGGAUGAGGAUUAAAUGGUGUGGAUGUUAGCUGGUGUUAGACUGGAUUAGGAUUUUAGUUUUUGGGCCUUAUUUUGGUUUGUCGGUUGGGGCUCUUUUUUAGUCUGUUUUUUGUUUCGGUUUCUAUUUUGUUUAUGUACAUUUUGUUUUUGAUUAUUUAUCCAGUCUGAUAUUUGUCAAAAAAUAAAAAAAUUAUAGAAGAUAAAAAAAAAAACACAUCAAAACUUAAUAUUAGC